CCUACGGGAGGCUGCAGUGGGGAAUAUUGCGCAAUGGGCGAAAGCCUGACGCAGCGACGCCGCGUGAGGGAUGAAGGUCUUCGGAUCGGAAACCUCUGUCAGCAGGGAAGAAAGGUCACUGUGCUAAUCAGCAGUGAAUUGACGGUACCUGCAAAGGAAGCACCGGCUCACUCCGUGACAGCAGCCGCGGUAAUACGGGGGGUGCGUGCGUUAAUCGGAAUUACUGGGCGUAAAGCGCUCGUAGGCGGUAUGUCAAGUCAAGGGUGACAUCGCCGCGCUCAACGUGGGAACUGCCGUUGAAACUGGCAGACUGGAGUGUGUGAGAGGAUAGUGGAAUUCCAGGUGUAGGAGUGAAAUGCGUAGAGAUCUGGCGGAACAUCAGUGGCGAAGGCGGCUAUCUGGCACAUAACUGACGCUGAGGAGCGAAAGCGUGGGUAGCAAACAGGAUUAGAUACCCCUGUAGUC
rnacentral:rRNA from 1 species